ensembl:lncRNA
GAAUAUGCAUAAUCAUUUUGAUGCAGAGGGAGAGAUUAUCAUAAGUGCAGCCAAACAUUUGCUUUUUCUGAGCACUUGGUCACAAACUCUCCCUAAACUACUGGGAACUGAACAGGGAGAAAGUUUCCAUAGUCCCUGUGGCACAGAUCCUGCCUAGGUACUUUAUUUUGGGAGCAAAAGUCCCACUGACUUUCAAGCCACAGUGUAUGUAACAGGAGAUACCUACACUUCCAGAAGAAAGCCUCAGGUUUGUGGAGGACAUCUCUCUCUGUAGUCCCACUGUGCUUUUGUAUUCGCUGGCCCUCAUUCAGUACUGGUAGAUCAGUAGUGUUUUUUAAACUUCCAGGUGUCUUUCAACAGCGCCAUAAUCUUUCUCAUUCAAUUCUCCUCCGUCAAAUCUACCUCCUCUGGAUCAGAGAUUUCCUUCUCCUGCACACCCAUGCAAUGCUUGCUGCAGGGAAAAUCAGCGAGGCUGGUGAUGAGAUAGCUGCUGAGGCCAUCAGUGACCGCUCCCAACUCACAAGUUUCAUUCUGCUACCAGUAAAUGACAGAGAUGACAGCAGGAAGCACUUAACCAUUCAAAAGUACUGCAUCUCCAAAUCGACUCCAAGCUACAGAGACCACCACAGCUAUUCCAUAAUGACAGAAACAGCAACAGAAGGGGUAUCACAACUUUGGGGUCAGAAUCUAACUCCAAAAGUGUCAAGAAGUGCUUUUGGUGGAGGCAUUACUUGCUACUUGGAUUGCUAAUAAAAGGUCUGGUAAAGAUCAUUCCCAGAAGCAAACAUAGCUACCUGCAUGUAGGAUAUCAUCAGGCAGGAUUUACUUGUCUAAUUAGCUCAACAAUUUUGUUGUUGGCCUAUGUAUAGAAAAACUUCAUUUCCCUGCUAGAAAAGUCUGCUGUGCUUCCUUCAGCACUGCUGCUCAUAGACCUCUACACCUUCAUUCUGACUGAAGCUGGCACGGCUCACAGUCCUGGCUGAGGUCAGAGAUGGCUCACUCUUCUGGUUAAAAUGACCUUGCCUGAGCAAAGUCUCAAGAGUUUUCUCUGAAGGCCAUACUUAAUAUCGAGAGCAUUAAACAAAUUGUUUUGUGUGCGCUGUGGAAGAAAAGGCAUUUGAGUCUGAAUGCAAAGGCCAGUUCUGGAUAAAACCAGGGUCUCUGCUCCUACAGAGUAACAUUUGUGAUAAUCAGAGCUGAAAGGAAAGAUUUAACCUCCAGGGUUGAUGGGAGACCAAAAAGAUGAAAGGAUUUUUUAGAUGUGAAAAGACGGAUCAAGAAUUUUACUAAAUCCUGUGUCGAAGGGAAGGCUGAAAAUUGCCUUUGCUCUGAAUCUGGGACAUUUCAGCCUGAAGCAGGUGUGCCUUACGUCUCAAACAUGUCAUGUGUUUCCAUUUCAUUUUCACUGUUUUCAAUUCCCAUUCUCUCAGACUUUAUUUACUUGUUUCUUCCAACAGUAUGAUGGCAAAAACAGCCAAGAUGCAAAGCUUGUCUCUAAAUGCCUGAUUUAAAUAAUGCAUCCAUUAAUUUUUGCACCAAUAGUGGUACAACAUAAAACAGUACAUUAUUUUUCAGAAUCUGAUUCUGCAAAUAUUAGACCAUUUGACUAAAAUAUUCCUGAUGUAUAAAUAAAGUUACUCUUGUGCAUUAGUGUUUUCA